UACAGAGGUCUCAAGCGUUUGUUCGGAUUCAUUGGGCGUAAAGGGUGCGUAGGCGGCGCGGUAAGUCGGGGUGUGAAUCUCGGGGCUUAACUCCGAAACUGCAUUCGAUACUGCCGUGCUUGAGGACUGGAGAGGAGACUGGAAUUUACGGUGUAGCGGUGAAAUGCGUAGAUAUCGUAAGGAAGACCAGUGGCGAAGGCGGGUCUCUGGACAGUUCCUGACGCUGAGGUGCGAAAGCGUGGGGAGCAAACAGG
rnacentral:rRNA from 1 species